GGAGAAUUCCAAUCAUCUCACUUAACAUAGAUGGCUUUGAUUCCUGCAUAUUCUUUUUUUUUGAUUUAAGGUGUUAAUUUUGUAGACUAGAUUUAUUGUGUGAACUGACAAUGGUAUUAACAGAUAUGAUUUCUGAUUUUUCAGGAAGCUGUAGAUUAUCGAAGACAAGGAGCAUCUUCUAGCCAGCCAGGAGAACUUAGAGGAAGAAAAAUUAUGAAACAUUUAGUAGAUAUCAGAGAACUAAAUGAACAGGCCAAAGUAAUAGAUGAUCUUAAAAAAUUAGGUGCAAGUGAAGGAACUAUAAACCAGGAAAUUCAACGUUACCAACAGUUAGAAUCUGUGGCUGUGAAUGACAUUUGAAGAGAUGUUCAUAAAAAAUUACGGAGAUCCAGUAUGCAAGUGAGUAGAUGUUUAAGAAAAAUUUUAUUAGACAGUUUUUCACUUUUUACUUUUAAAACUUAUCUAUGAUAAUGCUUAUUUUUUUUGUCUUUUAAGGCCAGUGAUAAUACCACCUGAUUUGUACAUAGCAGGUUUACUAUGUACCAGAUACUAUUUAAAACACAUUACAUGUAAUGGUCCAUUACAUUCUUAUAACAGUCUUAAGAGAUAACUCUAUUAUUAUCCUCUUUUAAAGAUGAGGAAAUCAAAGGACAGAGAAGUCAAGUAAUAUCACUGUGAUUAUACAGCCAGUAAUCCUGGUAAAACCAAAAUUUAAACCUAGGCAGUGGGACUGUAAAGUUGGUCCCUUUCCCACCACUUUUUCUGCUGUUCAUGAAUUUGCAUUUGCUUUUUUAGUCUCUAAUAUGAGCUCUGUGAAAAAUGUGAAUUCUUCUGCAAUGUCCGUCCUUCCCCUAUUCGAUUUUCAGUGGUCAUAUUUGUCUAUCAGCCACAAUUUCCUCCCUUUCUGUUUUAUUUAUAUUUUUAAUUAAAGACAGUUUUUGGCUCACAGUUCUUGGACAUUCUGUUCUUUUUUCAGUCUCUGUUCUCUUUGCUUUUCAGUUUUGAGGAUUUCUAUUUAUAGAUCCUCAAGACAAGUGAUUUUUUUUCCUCAUGGAGUUCCAGUCUGCUAAUAAGCUCAUCAUUCAUGUCUGUCAGUGUUUGUGAUCUCUAGGGUUUAUUUUUGUAUUUUUUCCAUCACUCACGU
rnacentral:lncRNA from 1 species